GAUGAACGCUGGCGGCGUGCCUAAUACAUGCAAGUCGAGCGAACAGACGAGGAGCUUUCUCCUCUGACGUUAGCGGCGGACGGGUGAGUAACACGUGGAUAACCUACCUAUAAGACUGGGAUAACUUCGGGAAACCGGAGCUAAUACCGGAUAAUCUAUUGAACCGCAUGGUUCAAUAGUGAAAGACGGUUUUGCUGUCACUUAUAGAUGGAUCCGCGCCGCAUUAGCUAGUUGGUAAGGUAACGGCUUACCAAGGCGACGAUGCGUAGCCGACCUGAGAGGGUGAUCGGCCACACUGGAACUGAGACACGGUCCAGACUCCUACGGGAGGCAGCAGUAGGGAAUCUUCCGCAAUGGGCGAAAGCCUGACGGAGCAACGCCGCGUGAGUGAUGAAGGUCUUCGGAUCGUAAACCUCUGUUAUUAGGGAAGAACAAAUGUGUAAGUAACUAUGCACGUCUUGACGGUACCUAAUCAGAAAGCCACGGCUAACUACGUG
rnacentral:rRNA from 1 species